CUAUGGGGUGAUAUGGGGUGGUUAUGGGGUGGUUAUGGGGUGAUAUGGGGUGGUUAUGGGGUUAUGGGGUGGUUAUGGGGGGAUAUGGGGUGGUUAUGGGGUGAUAUGGGGUGGUUAUGGGGUUAUGGGGUGGUUAUGGGGUGGUUAUGGAGAGGUGGUUAAUGGGGUGGUAUAUGAGGUGGUUAUGGGGCAACUAUUGGCGGUGAUAUGGGGGUGAUUAUGGCGGUGAGUUAUGGGGCGCUAUGGGGUGGUUAUGGGGGGUAUGGGUUGUGAUAUGGGGUGGUUAUGGGGGCGCUAUGGGCGUUGGUUAUGGGUGAUAUGGGGU
rnacentral:lncRNA from 1 species